rnacentral:rRNA from 1 species
AACGAACGCUGGCGGUGUGCUUCACACAUGCAAGUCGAACGGGGUAGCAAUACCCAGUGGCGGACGGGUGAGUAACGCGUAGAAAUCUGCCUUGAGAUGGGGGAUAACAGUCCGAAAGGAUUGCUAAUACCGCAUAUGUAUGUAUCCGGACACAGGUGUAUAUGAAAGGAGUAAUCCGUCUUAAGAUGAGUCUGCGUCCGAUUAGCUAGUUGGUAGGGUAAAGGCCUACCAAGGCGACGAUCGGUAGCUGGUCUGAGAGGAUAGAUACAGCCACAAUGGGACUGAGACACGGCCCAUACUCCUACGGGAGGCAGCAGUGGGGAAUUUUGUGCAAUGGGGGAAACCCUGACACAGCGACACCGCGUGAACGAAGAAGCCCUUUGGGGUGUAAAGUUCGUCGGCUGGAACGAAAAAAUGACGGUACCAGCAAAGGAAGCAUCGGCUAACUACGUG